rnacentral:tRNA from 1 species
UGCGUUAUAGAGCAGUUUGGUUAGCUCACCAGGCUCAUGCCCUGGAAGUCGUAGGUUCAAAUCCUGCUGACGCUA